rnacentral:misc_RNA from 1 species
UCUCCGUAGGUGAACCUGCGGAGGGAUCAUUACAGAGUUCUCGCCCUCACGGGUAGAUCUCCCACCCACUGUUAUCGUUACUGUCGUUUCUUUGGCGGGCCGCCGGGUCCCCGGCCGCCGGCGCCUAGCUGCCGGCGCGCGCCCGCCAGAGGCCUUCAAACUCUGAAUGUUAGUGUCGUCUGAGUACUAUAUAAUAGUUAAAACUUCCAACAACGGAUCUCUUGGUUCUG